rnacentral:lncRNA from 1 species
CACACACACACACACACGACCUGGAUAUUUAGGAAAAGAAGUAAGGAAAGAAUGGGAAAGCCACAUUAGCAGCAGCCCCUGCACUGUGGGAAUCUUUUCUAAUACCAUUGUUAUGAAUCAUAAUUAAUUGUGAUUAGUAACAACAGUAGGGACACAUGCUUAAUCUUCCAAUGGGGAAAGCAGACGUAAGGCACCACAGACACUCUGUGGGCCUAAGUCCACAAAGGCAGAAAACAGCUCAGAAAGGAGACAUCACUUUUUUUUUUUUUUUUUUUUUGAGGCAAAAUAAUGAACCCAAUCAAUUGCAGAAAUGGUAGCAUGGUAAGUUAUUUUGCGUGCUUUUUCAUUUGUCCUUGUGAUGGGCAGGAAGCCUUCUGACCCGUGACUCUGGAGGGUUGACUCUGGACAGCUUUCUCCCCUAGGGGUGACACUGAGCUGCCUGACACUACUUUAGUGAGCACAGCACAGCAUCAUCAUGGUUGUCCCCUCCAUGGCCUACAGAAACACUUCACUUUGUUCCUGGAGGUCCCUCGGGCUUGCUAGCUGCAGUGUGGUGAGCAGCCCUGGAAGGGAGCCCAGGAGGCAAGAACCCACAGUAGAGACAGUGGGAAACUGAAGCCCCAGUUUAUGGCCUACGACGAGCCAAGUCCUAUCAAUAAUGGGGUGUGGAAUAAGGGGUCACUGUCUGCACCCUACCCUGGUCUCCACUGCAGAUGAGACUGCAGCCACAUACAAGCGCUUGGAUGGUCUUCUACACUGUUAAAUCUUGGGAUGUUUUAUUGCUCAGGAGUGGAACACACCACUUCUGUCACAGUAUUGUUAAUCCAGAAGGAACCUAAAGUACUACCUAGAUAGGGAAAGGUGAGGCACUGUCACUUCAGUCGCACAUGAAGUUGUGUCAUUCAAAACCCACCUUAAUGUCUCAUGUGAUCUUAAAAGUUUCCCAGUGCAAUUCUCCACAUAGCUACCCCAUCCCCCAUCCCCAAUUAAUUGGCUGGAAGUUAAAAAGAAGCCCAACUGCUCCCCAGAACACUGUGAGAGAAGGAGACAGGAGUAAGACGACCUAACCUCUACCUCAUUGGCCAACAUUCUGGGAAAGUCAUUCGGGCUUGGCCAACUUCACUUUCCCCUUUGCUAAAGCCAAGAUAAUCUGUGUGAACAUGCAAACUAAAGCAGCCUAAAGGGUGUUGAUGGGGUCUCUUGAUAUCUUUUCAAAUAUUUGAAAAAGCACAAUCAAUAACAUAGCAAAAGAUUGUAUUCAAAGAUAAUAUGAAAGCACAGGACAGAUACAAGGGAGCAGUUGGCUACCUUCACUAGAGCAGUCACCUGCACUAGGAACUGCCAGGGCUUCCUUCUGUAAAUCAAUGAGAAGGAGGUGGUGGCUAGAUUAUAGAGUGUGGGUGGUUUUCUGUUUUGAUUGACAGGCUUAGGUCAUAAAAGCCUGAGUUUAUUCUAUGUGUCCUUCCCCUUGAUCUGGUGUUAAUCAAAUGCCCUCCCAAUCAUGCCUAGGACUAAGAUUGCAAAUAGAGGAUUUCUACCUGA